rnacentral:rRNA from 1 species
GACGAACGCUGGCGGCGUGCUUAACACAUGCAAGUCGAACGGAAAGGUCCUGCUUUUGUGGGGUGCUCGAGUGGCGAACGGGUGAGUAACACGUGAGUAACCUGCCCUUGACUUUGGGAUAACUUCAGGAAACUGGGGCUAAUACCGGAUAGGAGCUCCUGCUGCAUGGUGGGGGUUGGAAAGUUUCGGCGGUUGGGGAUGGACUCGCGGCUUAUCAGCUUGUUGGUGGGGUAGUGGCUUACCAAGGCUUUGACGGGUAGCCGGCCUGAGAGGGUGACCGGCCACAUGGGAACUGGGAAAGGGCCCAAACUCCUAGGGGGGGAAGAGGGGGGGAAUAUGGAAAAAGGGGGGGAAGCCUAAGGAGGCAACGCCGGGGGGGGGAGGAGGGCCUUGGGGUUGAAAACCGCUUUCGCCGGGAACGAGGGGGGGGGACGGGAAAUGGGGAAAAAGGCACCGGAUAACAGGUG